GAAUGGCAGUAGCUCAGUAGUAGAGCAUCUGACUUGUAUGCAGGAGGCCAAGGUUCAGUUGCUGCUGCCUUCA